GUGGGUAGUUUGACUGGGGCGGUCUCCUCCUAAAGAGUAACGGAGGAGCACGAAGGUUGGCUAAUCCUGGUCGGACAUCAGGAGGUUAGUGCAAUGGCAUAAGCCAGCUUGACUGCGAGCGUGACGGCGCGAGCAGGUGCGAAAGCAGGUCAUAGUGAUCCGGUGGUUCUGAAUGGAAGGGCCAUCGCUCAACGGAUAAAAGGUACUCCGGGGAUAACAGGCUGAUACCGCCCAAGAGUUCAUAUCGACGGCGGUGUUUGGCACCUCGAUGUCGGCUCAUCACAUCCUGGGGCUGAAGUAGGUCCCAAGGGUAUGGCUGUUCGCCAUUUAAAGUGGUACGCGAGCUGGGUUUAGAACGUCGUGAGACAGUUCGGUCCCUAUCUGCCGUGGGCGCUGGAGAACUGAGGGGGGCUGCUCCUAGUACGAGAGGACCGGAGUGGACGCAUCACUGGUGUUCGGGUUGUCAUGCCAAUGGCACUGCCCGGUAGCUAAAUGCGGAAGAGAUAAGUGCUGAAAGCAUCUAAGCACGAAACUUGCCCCGAGAUGAGUUCUCCCUGAGACUUUAGGUCUCCUGAAGGAACGUUGAAGACGACGACGUUGAUAGGCCGGGUGUGUAAGCGCAGCGAUGCGUUGAGCUAACCGGUACUAAUGAACCGUGAG
rnacentral:rRNA from 1 species